GACAGAGGGGGCAAGCGUUGCUCGGAAUCACUGGGCGUAAAGGGCGCGUAGGCGGGAUGGCAAGUCGGUCGUGAAAUCCUUCGGCUCAACCGAAGAACGUCGGCCGAUACUGCCGUUCUUGAGGGAUGCAGAGGAGAUUGGAAUUCCCGGUGUAGCGGUGAAAUGUGUAGAGAUCGGGAGGAACACCGGUGGCGAAGGCGGGUCUCUGGGCAUCUCCUGACGCUGAGGCGCGAAAAGCGUGGGGAGCAAACGGGG
rnacentral:rRNA from 1 species